UGCCAGCAGCCGCGGUAAUACGGAGGGUGCAAGCGUUAUCCGGAAUUACUGGGUUUAAAGGGUGCGUAGGCCGUCUGAUAAGUCAGUGGUGAAAAGUCUGGGCUCAACCGAGGCCUUGCCAUUGAAACUGUCAGACUUGAAAUAAGUUGAGGUAGGCGGAAUGUGACAUGUAGCGGUGAAAUGCAUAGAUAUGUCAUAGAACACCAAUUGCGAAGGCAGCUUACUAGACUUCAUUUGACGCUGAGGCACGAAAGCGUGGGGAGCGAACGGGAUUAGAUA
rnacentral:rRNA from 1 species